rnacentral:lncRNA from 1 species
GGGGGACUGGGCUGACAUUUCGACAGCAGGGAGAUGAAUCCAAGCCUCAGAAAUCUCUACAAGAGGUGCUUAUGAGACUGAGAGGACUCUUAAAGAAGAGUAGAAUUGUUGGUCUUCUCCAAAGCUACAGAAGGGCUCACGUUCUCCUGUGAAACAGAUAACACAGAAAGUCUCCAAACAGCUCCAGUAAGGAAGGAAGCAUCUUCAUCAGAAGAAAAGGCUAUCUGGGAAAGAGGAAUAGCAGAUCAUCAGAGAGAAAAAUCUGUGUGGAGAUCAGGUUAAAGGAAAAGCCAAACAGAAAGUCUGUGGAACUCUGAGGCUAUACCAUAUCACCUAGAAAAGACCUGUAAGUUGACCUUUGUUAGAGCUUUCAUGAGCUGCUAUUUUCUUUUGAGGCUGCUUUUUUUUUUC